rnacentral:rRNA from 1 species
UACGUAGGAGGCAAGCGUUGUCCGGAAUUAUUGGGCGUAAAGAGCUCGUAGGCGGCCUGUUGCGUCCGCUGUGAAAGCCCGGGGCUUAACCCCGGGUCGGCAGUGGAUACGGGCAGGCUAGAGGUAGGUAGGGGAGAAUGGAAUUCCCGGUGUAGCGGUGAAAUGCGCAGAUAUCGGGAGGAACACCGGUGGCGAAGGCGGUUCUCUGGGCCUUACCUGACGCUGAGGAGCGAAAGCGUGGGGAGCAAACAGG